rnacentral:tRNA from 1 species
AGGGUCGAAGCUCUAGCGGCAGAGCAAUGGACUUUUAAUCCAGAAGGUGAGAGUUCGAGCCUCUCCGACCCUA